rnacentral:rRNA from 1 species
GACGAACGCUGGCGGCGUGCUUAACACGUGCAAGUCGAACGGAGAUAAACGCUGAUUUGAUGGAGCUUGCUCUGGAUUUUCUUGUUUAUCUUAGUGGCGGACGGGUGAGUAACGCGUGAGUAACCUGCCUCUAAGUGGGGAAUAACGUUCUGAAAAGGUCGCUAAUACCGCAUAAUGUUAGUUAAUCGCAUGGUUGACUAACCAAAGAUUUAUCGCUUAGAGAUGGACUCGCGUCCGAUUAGCUAGUUGGUGGGGUAACGGCCUACCAAGGCGACGAUCGGUAGCCGGACUGAGAGGUUGAACGGCCACAUUGGGACUGAGACACGGCCCAG